GUAACGGGGAAUUAGGGUUCGAUUCCGGAGAGGGAGCCUGAGAAACGGCUACCACAUCCAAGGAUGGCAGCAGGCGCGCAAAUUACCCCAAUCCCGAUACGGGGAGGUAGUGACAAUAAAUAACAAUACAGGGCUUUAUAGUCUUGUAAUUGGAAUGAGUACAAUUUAAAUCUCUUAACGAGGAACAAUUGGAGGGCAAGUCUGGUGCCAGCAGCCGCGGUAAUUCCAGCUCCAAUAGCGUAUAUUAAAGUUGUUGCAGUUAAAAAGCUCGUAGUUGAAUUUCGGGGUUAGCAGGUCGGUCGUGCCAUCGGUAUGAACUGGCCUCGCUGAUCCCUCCCUCUUGACGAACUGUGAUGCCAUUAAUUUGGUGUCGCAGGGAAUCAGGACUGUUACUUUGAAAAAAUUAGAGUGUUUAAAGCAGGCUCACGCUUGAAUACAUUAGCAUGGAAUAAUGAAAUAGGACGUUUGAUCCUAUUUUGUUGGUUUCUAGGAUUGACGUAAUGAUUAAUAGGGAUAGUUGGGGGCAUUAGUAUUCAAUUGUCAGAGGUGAAAUUCUUGGAUUUAUUGAAGACUAACUACUGCGAAAGCAUUUGCCAAGGAUGUUUUCAUUAAUCAAGAACGAAAGUUAGGGGAUCGAAGACGAUCAGAUACC
rnacentral:rRNA from 1 species